rnacentral:rRNA from 1 species
UACGAAGGGUGCAAGCGUUACUCGGAAUUACUGGGCGUAAAGCGUGCGUAGGUGGUUCGUUAAGUCUGAUGUGAAAGCCCUGGGCUCAACCUGGGAAUGGCAUUGGAAACUGGCGACCUAGAGUGCGGUAGAGGGUAGUGGAAUUCCCGGUGUAGCAGUGAAAUGCGUAGAGAUCGGGAGGAACAUCUGUGGCGAAGGCGACUGCCUGGACCAGCACUGACACUGAGGCACGAAAGCCAGGGGAGCAAACGGG